UAAAGAACUUACCUCGUCUCUGUUGGCC
rnacentral:sRNA from 1 species